CCUUCGGGUCUAGUGGCGCACGGGUGCGUAACGCGUGGGAAUCUGCCCUUGGGUUCGGAAUAACAGUUGGAAACGACUGCUAAUACCGGAUGAUGACUUCGGUCCAAAGAUUUAUCGCCCAGGGAUGAGCCCGCGUCGGAUUAGCUAGUUGGUGAGGUAAAGGCUCACCAAGGCAACGAUCCGUAGCUGGUCUGAGAGGAUGAUCAGCCACACUGGGACUGAGACACGGCCCAGACUCCUACGGGAGGCAGCAGUGGGGAAUAUUGGACAAUGGGCGAAAGCCUGAUCCAGCAAUGCCGCGUGAGUGAUGAAGGCCUUAGGGUUGUAAAGCUCUUUUACCCGGGAAGAUAAUGACUGUACCGGGAGAAUAAGCCCCGGCUAACUCCGUGCCAGCAGCCGCGGUAAUACGGAGGGGGCUAGCGUUGUUCGGAAUUACUGGGCGUAAAGCGCACGUAGGCGGCUUUGUAAGUUAGAGGUGAAAGCCCGGGGCUCAACUCCGGAAUCGCCUUUAAGACUGCAUCGCUAGAAUUGUGGAGAGGUGAGUGGAAUUCCGAGUGUAGAGGUGAAAUUCGUAGAUAUUCGGAAGAACACCAGUGGCGAAGGCGACUCACUGGACACAUAUUGACGCU
rnacentral:rRNA from 1 species